AGGAACGCCAAGUGAGUGAUACCAUGCUUCCAGGAAAAGCCACUAAGCUUCAGUUGAAUGAAGACCGUACCGUAAACCGACACAGGUGGGUAGGAUGAGAAUCCUAAGGCGCUUGAGAGAACUCAGGAGAAGGAACUCGGCAAAAUAGCACCGUAACUUCGGGAAAAGGUGUGCCCUUUGUAUGUGUAGCGCCUCGCGCGUGAAGCAGAAUAGGGUUGCAAUGAAAUGGUGGCUGCGACUGUUUAAUAAAAACAUAGCACUCUGCAAACACGAAAGUGGACGUAUAGAGUGUGACGCCUGCCCGGUGCCGGAAGGUUAAAUGAUGGGGUGCAAGCUCUUGAUUGAAGCCCCGGUAAACGGCGGCCGUAACGAUAACGGUCCUAAGGUAGCGAAAUUCCUUGUCGGGUAAGUUCCGACCUGCACGAAUGGCGUAACGAUGGCCACACUGUCUCCUCCUGGGACUCAGCGAAGUUGAAAUGUUUGUGAAGAUGCAAUCUCCCCGCGGCUAGACGGAAAGACCCCGUGCACCCUUACUGUAGCUUUACAUUGGACUUUGAUAACAUUUGUGUAGGAUAGGUGGGAGGCUUUGAAGUGGGUUCGCCAGAAUUCAUGGAGCCAACGUUGAAAUACCACCCUGAUGUUGUUGAGGUUCUAACCUAGAUCCAUUAUCUGGAUUGGGGACCGUGUAUGGUAGGCAGUUUGACUGGGGCGGUCUCCUCCCAAAUUGUAACGGAGGAGUACGAAGGUACGCUAGGUACGGUCGGAAAUCGUGCUGAUAGUGCAAUGGCAAAAGCGUGCUUAACUGCGAGACUGACAAGUCGAGCAGAUGCGAAAGCAGGUCAUAGUGAUCCGGUGGUUCUGUAUGGAAGGGCCAUCGCUCAACGGAUAAAAGGUACGCCGGGGAUAACAGGCUGAUUCCUCCCAAGAGUUCAUAUCGACGGGGGAGUUUGGCACCUCGAUGUCGGCUCAUCACAUCCUGGGGCUGUAGCCGGUCCCAAGGGUAUGGCUGUUCGCCAUUUAAAGUGGUACGUGAGCUGGGUUUAAAACGUCGUGAGACAGUUUGGUCCCUAUCUGCCGUGGGCGUUGGAAGUUUGAGUGGACCUGCUCCUAGUACGAGAGGACCGGAGUGGACGCACCUCUGGUGUACCGGUUAUGACGCCAGUCGUAUCGCCGGGUAGCUAUGUGCGGAAGAGAUAACCGCUGAAAGCAUUUAAGCGGGAAACUCUCCUCAAGAUGAGACUUCCCGAGGGUUUAACCCUCCUAAAGGUUCGUCGAAGACUACGACGUUGAUAGGUCGGGUGUGGAAGCAUAGUGAUAUGUUAAGCUAACCGAUACUAAUUGACCGUGAGGCUUGAUC
rnacentral:rRNA from 1 species